rnacentral:rRNA from 1 species
CACGUAGGGCGCAAGCGUUGUCCGGAAUUAUUGGGCGUAAAGAGCUCGUAGGCGGUCUGUUGCGUCCGCUGUGAAAACUCGGGGCUUAACCCCGAGCCUGCAGUGGAUACGGGCAGACUAGAGGUAGGUAGGGGAGAAUGGAAUUCCCGGUGUAGCGGUGAAAUGCGCAGAUAUCGGGAGGAACACCGGUGGCGAAGGCGGUUCUCUGGGCAUUACCUGACGCUGAGGAGCGAAAGUGUGGGGAGCAAACAGG